rnacentral:rRNA from 1 species
UCGCUAGUAAUCGCGAGUCAGCAUAUCGCGGUGAAUACGUUCCCGGGUCUUGUACACACCGCCCGUCACACCAUGGGAGUUGGCAACACCCGAAGUCGAUGAGCUAACCUUUUAGGAGGCAGUCGCCUAAGGUGGGGUUGAUAACUGGGGUGAAGUCGUAACAAGGUAAC